AUUGAACGCUGGCGGCAGGCCUAACACAUGCAAGUCGAGCGGAGCGGCGGACGGGUGAGUAAUGCCUAGGAAUCUGCCUGGUCGUGGUGGAUAACGUCCGGAAACGGGCGCUAAUACCACAUACUAUGAGAUGAGCAUAGGUCGGAUUAGCUAGGUGGUGGGGUAAAGGCCGACCAAGGCGACGAUCCGUAACUGGGCUGAGAGGAUGAUCAGUCACACUGGAACUGAGACACGGUCCAGACUCCUACGGUAGGCAGCAGUGGGGAAUAUUGGACAAUGGGCGAAAGCCUGAUCCAGCCAUGCCGCGUGUGUGAAGAAGGCCUUCGGAUUGUAAAGCACUUUAAGUUGGGAGGCGUUACCAACAGAAUAAGCACCGGCUAACUUCGUGCCAGCAGCCGCGGUAAUAC
rnacentral:rRNA from 1 species